rnacentral:rRNA from 1 species
CAGCCGCCGCGGUAAUACGAAGGGGGCUAGCGUUGCUCGGAAUGACUGGGCGUAAAGGGCGCGUAGGCGGCGAUCAAAGUCAGGCGUGAAAUUCCUGGGCUCAACCUGGGGGCUGCGCUUGAUACUUGGUUGCUUGAGUGGGGAAGAGGGUCGUGGAAUUCCCAGUGUAGAGGUGAAAUUCGUAGAUAUUGGGAAGAACACCGGUGGCGAAGGCGGCGACCUGGUCCUUGACUGACGCUGAGGCGCGAAAGCGUGGGGAGCAAACAGGAUUAGAUACCCGAGUAGUCCCUGUCUCUUAUAA